AUGACAAAAAGUUUGGAGAGUAGAACCAGAGAAGGUUAUACUAAAGGAUGGAUAUCAUGAAAUAUUUAUAUUCUAAUUUGUUUGAUGCUUAUAGGAUGAUUUUAAGUGUUUGGGAAAUUCAAAAUUUUGAUUUUUAUGUUUUGUUAUGUCUGUAUGAGUAUAAGAAAUCAUUGGAAGGGGAAAAUUAAAAUAAGGGUUUGAAUCAUGCAAACUUGUACCAAG
rnacentral:lncRNA from 1 species